CCCUGCCCCUAUAUGUAACAUAAGGCAUUCACCCCUAUAUCAGUGUAAGAUAAGGUUUAUACCCCUGCCCCUAUAUGUAACAUAAGGCGUUCACCCCUAUAUCAGUGUAAGAUAAGGUUUGUACCCCUGCCCCAAUGUGUAACAUAAGGCAUUCACCCCUAUAUCAGUGUAAGUUAAGGUUUAUACCCCUGCCCCUAUGUGUAACAUAAGGCAUUCACCCCUAUAUCACUGUAAGAUAAGGUUUAUACCCCUGCCCCUAUAUGUAACAUAAGGCGUUAACCCCUAUAUCAGUGUAAGAUAAGGUUUAUACCCCUGCCACUAUGUGUAACAUAUUAAGGCAUUCACCCCUAUAUCAGUGUAAGAUAAGGUUUGUACCCCUGCCCCUAUGUGUAACAUAAAGCAUUCACCCCUAUAUCAAUGUAACAUAAGGUUAUACCCCUGCCCCUAUAUGUAACAUAAGGCGUUCACCGCUAUAUCAGUGUAACAUAAGGUCUAUACCCCUGCCCCUAUAUGUAACAUAAGGCGUUCACCCCUAUAUCAGUGUAAGAUAAGGUCUAUACCCCUGCCCGUAAAUGUAACAUAAGGCGUUCACCCCUAUAUCAGUCUAACAUAAGGUUUAUACCCCUGCCCUAUAUGUAACAUAAGGCAUUCACCCCUAUAUCAGUGUAAGAUAAGGUUUACACCCCUGCCCCUAUAUGUAACAUAUUAAGGCAUUCACCCCUAUAUCAGUGUAAGAUAAGGUUUAUACCCCUGCACCUAUAUGUAACAUAAGGCGUUCACCCCUAUAUCAGUGUAAGAUAAGGUUUACACCCCUGCCCCUAUGUGUAACAUAUUAAGGCAUUCACCCCUAUAUCAGUGUAAGAUAAUGUUUAUACCCCUGCCCCUAUGUGUAACAUAUUAAGGCAUUCACCCCUAUAUCAGUGUAAGAUAAGGUUUAUACCCCUGCCCCUAUGUGUAACAUAUUAAGGCAUUCACCCCUAUAUCAGUCUAACAUAAGGUUUAUACCCCUGCCCCUAUGUGUAACAUAAGGCAUUCACCCCAAUAUCAGUCUAAGUUAAGGUUUAUACCUCUGCUCCUAUGUGUAACAUAAGGCAUUCACCCCUAUAUCAGUGUAACAUAAGGUUUAUACCCCCGCCCUAGCCUGCGAACAGGCUCUCAAGCUGAAUUGAGAGCCUGCAUCGACGACUAAUGAAUUUGAAUAUCUGCCCCGUAACGUUUGUUUCUCCAAAUAUGGAAUGUUUAUCCUUAUAUGGUGUUGUUUACAACUUUCGUGCAAACUAAAUUUGGACCGUAAAGUUUAUACUGUUUUUCGAAAUAUAAGAUAUACAUUCCCCAAGCAAAAGUUCAAAUGUUUUAAAUACUGUUUUCUCAAAACAGAACAUUUCGUGCUUUGAGAUAAGACGGCCAAGACCAAUUUGAUCAGUUAAUGUGUUUUUUAUGCAUAGUGCUUUCAGCAGUUAACAUAUAUAGAGCUCAGCGGAAACAUAUAAAUUAUAGCAUCUGACCAAUGAGAAUUUCGCGUCACGAUUUGAGACGCAGAUAUUCAAAUUCAUUAGUCAUCGAUGCAGGCUCUCAAUUCAGCUUGAGAGCCUGUUCGCAGGCUAACCCCCGCCCCUACGUGUAACAUAAGGCAUUCACCCCUAUAUCAGUGUAACAUAAGGUUAUACCCCUGUCCCUAUAUGUAACAUAAGGCGUUCACCGCUAUAUCAGUGUAAGAUAAGGUCUAUACCCCUGCCCCUAUAUGUAACAUAAGGCGUUCACCCCUAUAUCAGUCUAACAUAAGGUUUAUACCCCUGCCCCUAUAUGUAACAUAAGGCGUUCACCUCUAUAUCAGUGUAAGAUAAGGUUUACACCCCUGCCCCUAUAUGUAACAUAUUAAGGCAUUCACCCCUAUAUCAGUGUAAGAUAAGGUUUAUACUCCUGCCCCUAUAUGUAACAUAAGGCGUUCACCCCUAUAUCAGUGUAAGAUAAGGUUUACACCCCUGCCCCUAUGUGUAACAUAUUAAGGCAUUCACCCCUAUAUAUCAGUGUAAGAUAAGGUUUAUACCCCCGCCCCUAUGUGUAACAUAAGGCAUUCACCCCUAUACCAGUGUAACAUAAGGUUAUACCCCUGCCCCUAUAUGUAACAUAAGGCGUUCACCUCUAUAUCAGUGUAAGAUAAGGUUUACACCCCUGCCCCUAUAUGUAACAUAUUAAGGCAUUCACCCCUAUAUCAGUGUAAGAUAAGGUUUAUACUCCUGCCCCUAUAUGUAACAUAAGGCGUUCACCCCUAUAUCAGUGUAAGAUAAGGUUUACACCCCUGCCCCUAUGUGUAACAUAUUAAGGCAUUCACCCCUAUAUCAGUCUAACAUAAGGUUUAUACCCCUGCCCCUAUGUGUAACAUAAGGCAUUCACCCGUAUAUCAGUGUAACAUAUUAAAGCAUUCACCCCUAUAUCAGUGUAAGAUAAGGUUUAUACCCCUGCCCCUAUGUGUAACAUAUUAAGGCAUUCACCCCUAUAUCAGUGUAACAUAAGGUUUAUACCCCCGCCCCUACGUGUAACAUAAGGCAUUCACCCCUAUAUCAGUGUAACAUAAGGUUAUACCCCUGUCCCUAUAUGUAACAUAAGGCGUUCACCCCUAUAUCAGUGUAAGAUAUGGUCUAUACCCCUGCCCGUAUAUGUAACAUAAGGCGUUCACCCCUAUAUCAGUCUAACAUAAGGUUUAUACCCCUGCCCCUAUGUGUAACAUAUUAAGGCAUUCACCCCUAUAUAUCAGUGUAAGAUAAGGUUUAUACCCCCGCCCCUAUGUGUAACAUAAGGCAUUCACCCCUAUAUCAGUGUAACAUAAGGUUAUACCCCUGCCCCUAUAUGUAACAUAAGGCAUUUACCCCUAUAUCAGUGUAAGAUAAGGUUUAUAUCCCUGCCCCUAUGUGUAACAUAUUAAGGCAUUCGCCCCUAUAUCAGUGUAAGAUAAGGUUUAUACCCGUGCCCCUAUAUGUAACAUAAGGCAUUCACCCCUAUAUCAGUGUAAUAUAAGGUUUAUACCCCUGCCCCUAUAUGUAACAUAAGGCGUUCACCCCUAUAUCAGUGUAAGAUAAGGUUUAUACCCCUGCCCCUAUGUGUAACAUAAGGCGUUCACCCCUAUAUCAGUGUAAGAUAAGGUUUAUACCCC